GACGAACGCUGGCGGCGUGCCUAAUACAUGCAAGUCGAGGGGCAGCGAGUCCCGCAGCAAUGCGGGAGCUGGCGACCGGCAAACGGGUGCGGAACACGUACAGAACCUUCCUUCGAGCGGGGAACAGCCCAGAGAAAUUUGGAUUAAUACCCCAUAGCAUUACGAAGUGGCAUCACUUUGUAAUUAAAGAUUUAUCACUCGAAGAUGGCUGUGCGGCUGA
rnacentral:rRNA from 1 species